rnacentral:rRNA from 1 species
UACGUAGGGUGCAAGCGUUGUCCGGAAUUAUUGGGCGUAAAGAGCUCGUAGGCGGUUUGUCGCGUCUGGUGUGAAAAUCCAGGGCUUAACCCUGGACCUGCAUCGGGUACGGGCAGACUAGAGUGCGGUAGGGGAGAUCGGAAUUCCUGGUGUAGCGGUGAAAUGCGUAGAUAUCGGGAGGAACACCAGUGGCGAAGGCGAUCAUCUGGGGUUGUUCUGACACUGAGGAGCGAAAGCUAGGGGAGCAAACGGG